CUCCUCUCCCUCCAGAUGAGAGGGAGCAAACGUCUCCUCGGACCUAGUGUCCGAUCGACCCUUUGAUCAAAAACUCUCUCGGGCCUUUUGAUUCUCCUUAUUCUUCUCGUCCUUCUCCUUCGGAGCCGUGUACAACUUCUCGGCCAGCAUGGCUUCCAAUAAAGGCGUCAUGGGGUCCUCGGGCAAGGGCGCCAGAUAGUUGAUCCGCUGAGGCUUUUUCAGCUAGAUCUAUGAGUAUGGAGGAAACGAGAAGUAAGAAGCUUGUUAAAAGGAAAGGAAAAAAAC
rnacentral:lncRNA from 1 species